GGGGCUGUAACGGUUUCGACGUUCUUGUGAACCGGGUUCUAUGAUACAGGUCGAGAGCGAACUCCCUCUCGCAAAUCAAGAGUUCAAAAAAAUGUAACUGCGAACAACAUCGUUCCUUUUGCUCGUAAAGCUGCUGCUGUAGCCUAAAUACCACUCUUUUGGUUCGAGCAUCUAUAGUCUGACUCCGUUAAAGAUUAUAGAUUAACCCCCCAACGGAUGCUUUAGUUACUGCUCUCGGGGACAGUAAUUAACCAAGACCCUCUCUGAGAAUCCUACUGUUCGGAAUAAGGAGCAGUUCCCGCCUCAGGAUUAGAAAGGCUAAACCUGUGAAUGAGUAGGACACUUAAUAACUUGGGCGGACACGGGUUCGACUCCCGUCAGCUCCAUCU
rfam:Synechococcus sp. PCC 6312, complete genome.